rnacentral:rRNA from 1 species
CAGUAGCCGCGGUAAUACGUAGGGUGCAAGCGUUAAUCGGAAUUACUGGGCGUAAAGCGUGCGCAGGCGGUUUGUUAAGACAGAUGUGAAAUCCCCGGGCUCAACCUGGGAACUGCAUUUGUGACUGGCAAGCUAGAGUCUGGCAGAGGGGGGUGGAAUUCCGCGUGUAGCAGUGAAAUGCGUAGAUAUGCGGAGGAACACCGAUGGCGAAGGCAGCCCCCUGGGCCAACACUGACGCUCAUGCACGAAAGCGUGGGGAGCAAACAGGAUUAGAGACCCCCGUAGUCCCUGUCUCUUAUAC